rnacentral:rRNA from 1 species
CCUACGGGUGGCAGCAGUAGGGAAUCUUCCACAAUGGGCGCAAGCCUGACGGAGCAACGCCGCGUGGGUGAAGAAGGUCUUCGGAUCGUAAAACUCUGUUGUUAGAGAAGAAAGUGCGUGAGAGUAACUGUUCACGUUUCGACGGUAUCUAACCAGAAAGCCACGGCUAACUACGUGCCAGCAGCCGCGGUAAUACGUAGGUGGCAAGCGUUAUCCGGAUUUAUUGGGCGUAAAGGGAACGCAGGCGGUCUUUUAAGUCUGAUGUGAAAGCCUUCGGCUUAACCGGGGUAGUGCAUUGGAAACUGGGAGACUUGAGUGCAGAAGAGGAGAGUGGAAUUCCAUGUGUAGCGGUGAAAUGCGUAGAUAUAUGGAGGAACACCAGAGGCGAAGGCGGCUCUUUGGUCUGUAACUGACGCUGAGGUUCGAAAGCGUGGGUAGCAAACAGGAUUAGAUACCCGUGUAGUC